rnacentral:misc_RNA from 1 species
AACGCACCUUGCGCUCCUUGGUAUUCCGAGGAGCAUGCCUGUUUGAGUGUCAUUAAAUUCUCAACCCCGAUCGGAUUUGCUUUCGACUCGGUGGCUUGGACUGUGGAGCGUGCUGGCCCCUCUGGGUCGGCUCCUCUCAAAUGCAUUCGCGGAAUCGACUUUGGUCCGUUUCGGUCAUCAGCGUGAUAAUCGUGUUGCGCUGUUGGCUAGGAUCGAGGUGCCGCACAUAAUGGUCUUCGGACGACUUUAUACCAAUUUGGCCUCAAAUCAGGUAGGACUACCCGCUGAACUUAA